AAGAUGCUAAGCCCGCUCUCUUUGCCGCCGUCUACUCUAGUAGGGCCUCCUGUCGAUGCCCACUCCUUCAUGACAACUCUUCAUCGUCACCGCUCUCUUCAUUGGCACACAAUGACUCCCACACACACAUGGCCUAGCCAAUCACCCCUCGACAACCUCCACAAUGGUGCCAUUCCACACCGAAUCCAGCCGCUUCCUUUGGCCACCUUGACGGUCCGUUAUUCGACUACAUCAACCAUCCCAUUGCAC
rnacentral:lncRNA from 1 species